CCAAUUUUAUAGAUAUGCGAUGAUACAAAGAAAUUAGAUUUUCAGAUACAACUUUACACAAUGACUGUAGGGAAUUAUUUACAUCACCACUAUUCCCUACUUACAAUCAAAACCUAUCACUAUCACAAAACACUACAGCUACAUACCUACAAGCAUGCGGGAGAUAACGCGUGAGUGUAAAAAGAAGAAAAAUGAGAGAAGACCAAUCGGCUCCUCCCUUCAAUUCAGCCAACCACCAUCUCCAAUCCUUUGACUUUACAGCCAACAACUCACGCAUUAAAGCACCAGCCUAACACUUCAUUCCUUCUCUCAUACACCAACCACCAGAAAGGGAGAUGAAGAGAAGUUAAUUCCUGCUGCCAACUGCCAAGUAUCGAGAGUUCCUUCCCCAUUGAAUUCAAUAAUAACAGCAGCCAAUCAAGCACAAAAUACACAAGGCUUUGUGACCAGGGGGAUUAGCGCUGCUUUCCCAAGACAGGUUUUUAUGUGUAUGAUCUUCAGGCUUUGCCUAUCCAGGUUGAGCUGAUGUGAUGAUGGUGCUGCAAUGAGCGGAGUUUCCAGGGUUGUUAAUAAAUAGUUAACCUGUCUAGAAUAUGUCUUCAUACAUAUGUCUGGCUACUUUCCGCUGCAAGAUGUUGUUGAUGUUAUAGUAUGUUAUGUCAUACUUUGAGUCUUAAGAGAAUGGUUUCAUAUGAUGUAUAACUUGAUUAAUGAUAUUAAUUAAGUUUUAUGCUGUCUUUCAUAGACUAUUUUCAAUUGAGUAUUCAUGAAUAAAAAUGACGAGUUU